rnacentral:rRNA from 1 species
GAUGAACGCUGGCGGCGUGCCUAAUACAUGCCAGUCGAGCGAACGGACGAGAAGCUUGCUUCUCUGAUGUUAGCGGCGGACGGGUGAGUAACACGUGGAUAACCUACCUAUAAGACUGGGAUAACUUCGGGAAACCGGAGCUAAUACCGGAUGAUAUUUUGAACCGCAUGGUUCAAAAGUGAAAGACGGUCUUGCUGUCACUUAUAGAUGGAUCCGCGCUGCAUUAGCUAGUUGGUAAGGUAACGGCUUACCAAGGAAACGAUGCAUAGCCGACCUGAGAGGGUGAUCGGCCACACUGGAACUGAGACACGGUCCAGACUCCUACGGGAGGCAGCAGUAGGGAAUCUUCCGCAAUGGGCGAAAGCCUGACGGAGCAACGCCGCGUGAGUGAUGAAGGUCUUCGGAUCGUAAAACUCUGUUAUUAGGGAAGAACAUAUGUGUAAGUAACUGUGCACAUCUUGACGGUACCUAAUCAGAAAGCCACGGCUAACUACGUG